rnacentral:rRNA from 1 species
GCCUUAGUAACGGCGAGUGAAGCGGCAACAGCUCAAAUUUGAAAUCUGGCUCUUUUAGAGUCCGAGUUGUAAUUUGCAGAGGGCGCUUUGGCGUUGGCAGCGGUCCAAGUUCCUUGGAACAGGACGUCACAGAGGGUGAGAAUCCCGUACGUGGUCGCUAGCCAUCACCGUGUAAAGCCCCUUCGACGAGUCGAGUUGUUUGGGAAUGCAGCUCUAAAUGGGAGGUAAAUUUCUUCUAAAGCUAAAUACUGGCCAGAGACCGAUAGCGCACAAGUAGAGUGAUCGAAAGAUGAAAAGCACUUUGGAAAGAGAGUCAAAUAGCACGUGAAAUUGUUGAAAGGGAAGCGCUUGCAGCCAGACUUGCCUGUAGUUGCUCAUCCGGGCUUUUGCCCGGUGCACUCUUCUGCGGGCAGGCCAGCAUCAGUUUGGGCGGUUGGAUAAAGGUCUCUGUCAUGUACCUCUCUUCGGGGAGAACUUAUAGGGGAGACGACAUACAACCAGCCUGGACUGAGGUCCGCGCAUUUGCUAGGAUGCUGGCGUAAUGGCUGUAAGCGGCCCGUCUUGAAACACGGACCAAGGAGUCUAACAUCUAUGCGAGUGUUUGGGUGUCAAGCCCGAGCGCGUAAUGAAAGUGAACGGAGGUGGGACCCCUUUUAGGGUGCACCAUCGACCGAUCCUGAUGUCUUCGGAUGGAUUUGAGUAAGAGCAUGGCUGUUGGGACCCGAAAGAUGGUGAACUAUGCUUGAAUAGGGUGAAGCCAGAGGAAACUCUGGUGGAGGCUCGCAGCGGUUCUGACGUGCAAAUCGAUCGUCAAAUUUGGGCAUAGGGGCGAAAGACUAAUCGAA